UCAGUUAGACGUCCGAUCAGAGGAUAUUUCAAAGUGAUUCUAUUGCAUAUAGAGCCGAAUUGGUAUGGCAACAUAUCUUUGAGAAUUGAAGUUUAUGGCGGUUCUUCAGAUCAAAUAAAUUAUGGCAACCCAGGAGUCGCUAACAAUUA
rnacentral:lncRNA from 1 species